rnacentral:lncRNA from 12 species
GGGGGGGGGGGGGGGGGGGGGGGGGGGGGGGGGGGGGGGGGGGGGGGGGGGGGGGGGGGGGGGGGGGGGGGCUGCAGCUUCUGCCUCUGCUCAGGACUCUGGACCAAGCUGCAGCUUCUGCGUCGGCUCAGGACUCUGGACUUGGCCACUGCUUCUGCCUUUGCUCUGGACUCUGGACCAGGCUGCAGCUUCUGCUUCUGCUCAGGACUCUCGACCUGACCACAGCUUCUCCCUCUGCUGAGCACUCUGUCCCAGGCCGCAGAAUAUGUUUCUGCGUAGGCCUCUCUUCCUGGCCACAGCUUCUGCCUCUGCCCAGGACUCUCUACCUGGCCACAGCUUCUGCCUCUGCUCUGGACUCUGUACCAGGCCGCAGAUUCUGCUUAUAUUCAGUGCUCUGUGCCAGGCUGCACCUUCUGCUUCUAAUUCUGACUCUGCACCAGAAGCUUUUAGCAUGGACUUUAACACUUCGGACUCUUCGUCUUUUGAUGAAGACUGAUGUGCCUUUAUAAUAAACAACUUUACAUUAACCAAUGUCUGCUCUGCUGUUUUGAAGACCUAAUCUCAUGGCAGUCUCUACAUUUUAUUGUAUCUUUAUAACUUUG